rnacentral:rRNA from 1 species
UACAGAGGUCUCAAGCGUUGUUCGGAUUCAUUGGGCGUAAAGGGUGCGUAGGUGGCGCUGUAAGUCGGGUGUGAAAUUUCGGAGCUUAACUCCGAAACUGCAUUCGAUACUGCGGUGCUUGAGGACUGGAGAGGAGACUGGAAUUCAUGGUGUAGCAGUGAAAUGCGCAGAUAUCAGGAGGAACACCGGUGGCGAAGGCGGUUCUCUGGGCCUUACCUGACGCUGAGGAGCGAAAGCGUGGGGAGCAAACAGG